CGAGCGCGUCGCCGCCCGCAGUCUGGUCGUCCGCAGCGCUGCGCUCUCGCACUGAGCCUUCCCUUCAAGGGUACUCGGUACACUUCGGUUUUGGCGGGUUUUCGCACGGACGUGAUGCGCCUUGCAUUUGCGGGCGGAAUGCGCGCGCGUUGUCAACUCGCCCACCGACCGUACACGCCGUCACGUCGUAGUGAAAUCUGUGGCGAGGACUGUCAGUGAUCGCUAACUUGGAUUGCAGUGUUGGAUCGUAGGAUCGGGUCGGAUGCGGCCACCUCCACGGGUUUUUUAGAUAGGCCCGCUCCGUACUCUCCGAUGAAUGUUUUACAAACAUGUUUGUGCGUGGUGUAGAUUGAACAUUGUAUUUGAAAUAUUAAACGUAUCGUGAAAAACGCAGUGAUAUUUUUUUAUGUGAAGUGUGAAUAAAGUUGGAAUAAUUUCGUUCAGUGCGGAUAAGAAGGGCAGAGUGUCUGGCAUGCAUAUGUGCUAUGAGAGGCCCGGUGUGGUGCCCCCACUAAACGGCGCUGUUGGGUACGACAAGUGGGACCGGGACCGGGGCGGGGGCGGCGGGGCCG